CACGUAGGGGGCGAGCGUUGUCCGGAUUUAUUGGGCGUAAAGGGCUCGUAGGCGGCUCAGUAAGUCGGGUGUGAAACCUCCAGGCUCAACCUGGAGACGCCACUCGAUACUGCUGUGGCUAGAGUCCGGUAGGGGAGCAUGGAAUUCCUGGUGUAGCGGUGAAAUGCGCAGAUAUCAGGAGGAACACCAGUGGCGAAGGCGGUGCACUGGGCCGGAACUGACGCUGAUGAGCGAAAGCGUGGGGAGCAAACAGG
rnacentral:rRNA from 1 species